GUCGUAAUUUGUCUGGGCCCUAUAGCCCUGGUGCCUUAAGGUUUGUCGGCUUUUGUUCAGUUUUAUGACUUGCUAGUAUAUCUGGAUUGUGGCUGUCUUGGACCAGUGGUUUCAGUUGAGAGGAGAGCUGCAUAGACAGAGGAAGCUAAACAGGAUUUCUUUCGGGAGCCCCAGAGAGACUCACAGAGGCCAGUUAUUUUGCGGGUGUCCAGGUCCCAGAAGACACCACGCCCUAAAUCCGCGGAGGAGAGCCCACUCACAGCACCACUGGUGCCUGAGGCAGCGGUUAAGUGGACCGGGGCCGAGCUGUCCAGGGUCACCCCCUCCCCCUGCCGGGCCUCCCCCACCUGGCGGCCCUCCGCUAGGCCACGCGUUUCCUGCACGCCGGAGGUGGGGGGGAGCGGCUAAGGGGGGGAGGGUCGCGGGAGCGCGCGCCUCAGCGGGCGGGCGGUUAGGAGGGAGAUGCGGGGGGAGCGAGAGGCUGCGGGGAGCAGGGGAGCAAGUCGAAGAGGCCGCGACCAGACACAGGACUGGGCUCGGUGCUGUCCCCUGCGCUUUCCGGUCGUCCGAGGAGGCUGCCGUACUGUUCUGCUUCGUGAAGCUGUAGAAUCUCGGGAACCCUCGGCAGGCCGCUCGGUCUCCCCUCUCUUCUCGUCUCCCCCCUUUGCUUUUUCCUCGUCUUUUCUCCUCCCCCCUUCUCCCUUUUACUCUCUCAUUCUCCUAGGCAUACCUUCCUGCGGACCGGUGGCUUUUUCCUCUACCACGGGUUUAGAGCAGUGGCUGGCGCAGGGUGCGGAGGGCUGGUCUGGGCACGAUCACAGCGCAGGGCUCUUUCCUUGGUGGCGACGGUGGCGGCAGCGGAGGCGGCGGCGGGCGAGGCAGCCCGGCGCCGGCAGCAACAGAACUGGUCGGUGAUUUAGGUAGUUUCCUGUUGUUGGGAUCCACCUUUCUCUCGACAGCACGACACUGCCUUCAUUACUUCAGUUGAAAGCGUCUCCAGGUACCAGCGGGGUGGCCAGGACGGCCAUCAAGGCCCUAAUCGUGCCAGGCCUGCGGUGGCAUCCUCGGAUCCCCAGUGCAGGAGGAGCUUCGGGUCCUCUGCGCUGUGCCACCCAGCCCGCCUCACGCUCUGCGCCCCACACCUGGCCCGGGGCAGGUACGGUCAGGUUAGGGGCUGAUUCUGGGGCGCCGGGGGCGUGGUAAGAAUUCUGGACCCCGGGCCAUUCAAGGUCAGGGGCGCUCUCUCGCUGUCUGAGCUCUCCCUACCUAGACCUGCGCCUGUCUGGGGCUCUACCUUCUCCUGCGAGACUGGGCUGGGACACGGAUGCACCACUGUAAACCCGCCUUGAACCGAGGGAAAAUUCGUUCGCCCCGUAGAUCCCCGGGCUGAGGGCUGAGAUAGGAGAGUCGGGACCUUCCGGGGCUGGUAUCCUGCCUGGUCUUGUCGCUUACCCUUCCGCCUGCAAGCACGCCCUCUGCUCCCCAAGUCGCCGCUGUGUAUUUCACGUAUUUCCAUCCUCUUUCCUUCUUUCUUUCUUAUCCUUUUCUUUUUCCUUUUCGUUGCUCUUUCCCUUAUUUCCGUUUCUUUUUUCUUGUGUUUUGCAUCUUUCUGUCCAGUUCUCUGUCUCUCGUUUCCUUUCCAAAUCGCCAUUCCCGAGGGGAAAGGGCUAGCUUAGAGAAAGUUUUUGAAGCUUUCAUUUUUCUCUCGGUGCACGAGCUUGAGUCUGCUGAGGAAGGGGUGCAUAAAGGAGGCUGUUCGGGUACGCGGUUUUUGGCCUGGUGGGCCUCUGCGCAGACAAGGCCUCGGUUACGAUCACGACCGGAUGGCGGCGGCCUUGCGUUAGCAGCUGCCUGAGAGAUCCGCUGAGAGGGUACCCGCGGCGUCUUUGUGUGCCCAUACCGAGGACAGGGAAGGAAACCUUCGCUAGUUCCACUGGUUCGGAAGCUGGAAUCAGAGCGGAAGCCCGGCCUAGGUUCUCUGGAGCCUGGUUACCAAAAGAGCUCCCGGCAGGAAGCUUCAGGUCGGCUCUGCCAGCUUUACCGGCCCUAACUCGGGCUUUGACCGUGAUGAAGGAGCCUCGCUGGGGCCAAGGCUUGACUGCUUGCUGUCUUGCCAGCGGUAGCAGAUCCAGAAAACGUUAGCCUAGUCCCGUCCCCCCCACACCCCCCCACCCCUUAUCCAGCUGGGUGUUUGGGAAGGAGGCCUUUCCCAAGUCCACUACCUUUUAAAUGAGUAGAAACAAUGCCACAUUUAAGAACUAAAAGGACACAGGCUUAAGUAUUGAUUUUAAAUCGCAAUCUAUGAAAGCCACCCUAAUCACUCUCAAUACAGAAAACUGAAAACAAACCAUCCCUUCCCCCCUGCAGAACACUCUCUAGCCUGAGACCACAGAAUUCUGUUUCCCUUCCCAGCUUUCCCAGCUUAGGCUGGGAAUUGUUUUCCUUGCUGAGCUCAACAACCUGUUAUCUGAAAUACCAGUACUCCCGGUUCCCGCCAACUCUGCUCUGCCAUUUUCUGGAUCCCGGUAUUGGAUUUAUUUCAGAGGCCAAGGUUUCAGGAAGAUUCUCAGUUGGGAAUGCUGUGGUUUGUCAUUAUAACCAUUUAUUGUUUCUAGAUGUGCAUUCAAACCUUUUCACAUCCAAAAGAAAGGAAGAAUAAAACGCUACUCUAGCAUCCAAUCUCUGGGCUUACAAGAACAGUAUCUGCUUUUGGGGAGUCCUCCCCCUUCUCCCACCAGUAAACAGCUGCUUGACACUCAAUGCCUGGUAUUUAUUUUGUAAUUCUCCUACUUGGAGACUAAUGGUGUUUUAAAAGCUACAAUAAUAAUAAUAACAACCCAUGUCUGCUCUUGGUAAAAAAAAAAAAAAAAAAAAAAAAAGGCAGACAGGCAUGCUCUGCCACUCACAGACAGUUUAGAGCAGAGGCAUACUCCAGGGUCAUCGCCUAAAUGAAAAUCUGCACCUCAGAGGACUGCCGGAUAUUUAGAACACCUUGGACUGUGUGUGUGGGGGGGUGUAGGGGUAAGAAUGACUUGGAAAAAUUUGCAAGAAAAGGAAAAUAUUAGGGGGAGGGGACUGAGGCAGCAGGGACAAGCCACUUCCAGUUCCUGGUGUUGGCCACUUUCUUCUUCCUGCCGACAAGCAAAGAAGGAGGCUUGUAUUCCUGGGGUGGCAUAGCUUUCCUAGCUGGAAGAGCCUAAUAUUGUGGCGAUUCCUAUCUCCUGGAAUGGGAAUGUGUUAGAGUGUUGGAAGGUGUUUCCUUGAGCUAUUUUGUGAGAAAGUAGGCAAAAAGAAAGAUGGAAGUGUCUUAGGCCAGCCGUUUUGCUUAUAGUGAAGUGAGGUAAUGAGAAACACACUCUUGGGAGGCGCAGAAAUCACACGUGAAUUUCAUUACACAGUUUCUAGGAGUUGUUGCUUUGUGUUCCGAAUUGGGAUAGGGUCACCCCCCCCCCCCCAAUGAACAACAGUGGCUGUGGCCUUUUCACUUUCUCUCAUCCCCGAAAGAUUCUAAGGGGUGAGAAACAACAUCCUCCAUUUGGCCAAAGGAUGAGAUUAAAGUCAAUGUCCAAUGCUCCUCCCGGGUGGAUCUGUAGCACUGGACUUGAGCUGUUAGUUGCCUAGUUUUGGGGAUCUCUGUUGCUUUGUUUCACAGAAAACCAAGGCUAGAGACAGGAAGGAAGAAAAAGGGAGGGAGGGAGAAGGAGAAAAGAAAGAAGGGAAGAGAGUGGAAGGAAUGGAGGGGGUAGUGGGGGGAAUGGGAGGGAAAAUGAGGAGGAAAGGAUCCGGAAGGGCUCGUACUGGGCCCUGGAAAGGCCACUACCAAUGCUGAUGCUCUUCUUUUAGGCUCGGUUGCCCUUCAGCAAAACAAAUUCCCCUAGUACUGAUGUUUUUCCCCCAACUUCGGUCCGGGGAGAAGGCUUACAGAUGAUGGAGCUGAGAACCGGGUUGCUGGUUGAGAAAUCAUCCGCUGAACCGCUUGUGCUCAAAGUCGUGGGCCUGGGCCCAGGCGGUGCUUGUGACACAAUUAGAUCCUUAAACCCUUGCAGGCAGCUGGCAGUUCCCUUCUUGGCAGUUUCUCUGUGGAGCCUUCCCUUGUGGAGUAAGGACGAUUUGGGUGCUGUGCAAGCGUCUGACUAAGUACUGGUCUAGCAAGGCCCGGUAACCCAGUCUAGGUGGUUGUGGCAUCAUGGGAUGGUGCGACGCGGCAGGGGAGGUGGUCACUCUGAGGUGAAGAGAGCCUGUAUUUGACUUUUUGAGGCGGGCCUGGGGGGAAACUCGCAUCUCGGAGGACCGAAAGGAUUAUUUACAGGGUGCUCACCAACCAAACACAACAGUCUAAUUUAACCUUUCCAAGUCCUCAUAAAUUUUUACAGGGAGCCGCAGUGAGGCAAAAGAAUCUGUUGGUUGUUCCUGACUUCCCACCAGCCUGUGUGGCUUCCGAAACAAUAACUCCUUAUGAAAUAUCAUAAAUAUAGAUUUAAAUACAGUAGAGUGAGAAUGCGAUUUGGCUGCUUUUUUUAUGGCUUCAAUUAUUGUCUAAUUUUAUGUGAGGGGCUCUGCUGGCCGCACUCGCACGCGGGACCCGCGCCUUCCUGAUGGCGUGAUUAAUUGUGAUAUAAAAUAGUCCGCUUAAGAAGUGUGUGUGUCUGGUGUGUGUGUGUGUGUGUGUGUGUGUGUGUGUGUGUGUGUGUGUAGAGGGGGUGACAAGGCAGAGUACAGAGGCAAGGCCAGAUUUGAUCUUUUAAUCUUCGUUGGCCACAAUUAAAACAAACCAGAUUGUGGAGCGGCGCGAUCCCUUUGCAUAAAAACAUAUGGCUUUUGCUAUAAAAAUUAUGACUGCAAAACACCGGGCCAUUAAUAGCGUGCGGAGUGAUUUACGCGUUAUUGUUCUGCCGGGCGGACACGUGACGCGCGUGGCCAAUGGGGGCGCGGGCGCCGGCAACUUAUUAGGUGACUGUACUUCACUCCCCCCCCCUGGUGCCACCAAGUUGUUACAUGAAAUCUGCAGUUUCAUAAUUUCGGCGGGUCGGGUUGGGCCGGUCAGGCGCGGGCUACUGCGAUGGCCACCACCGGGGCCCUCGGCAACUACUAUGUGGACUCCUUCCUGCUGGGCGCCGACGCUGCUGACGAGCUGGGCGCCGGACGCUACGCUCCAGGGGCCCUGAGCCAACCCCCAAGACAGGCGGCAGCACUGGCCGAACACCCCGACUUUAGCCCUUGCAGCUUCCAAUCCAAGGCGGCGGUGUUCGGUGCCUCGUGGAACCCGGUGCACGCGGCGGGCGCCAAUGCGGUGCCUGCCGCCGUGUAUCACCACCACCACCCCUACGUGCACCCCCAGGCGCCCGUGGCCGCGGCGGCGCCGGACGGCAGGUACAUGCGCUCCUGGCUGGAGCCCACGCCCGGUGCGCUCUCCUUCGCGGGCUUGCCCUCCAGCCGGCCUUAUGGCAUUAAACCUGAACCGCUGUCGGCCAGAAGGGGUGACUGUCCCACGCUUGACACUCACACUUUGUCCCUGACUGACUAUGCUUGUGGUUCUCCUCCAGUUGAUAGAGAAAAACAACCCAGCGAAGGCGCCUUCUCCGAAAACAAUGCCGAGAAUGAGAGCGGCGGAGACAAGCCCCCCAUCGAUCCCAGUAAGUGUCUCCUCCCUGCAAGCCGGCCGCUGCCUCCACGCCGGCCACCGGGAUCUACCAGCGCGUCAACUUUCUCUCGAGCCUGCCUUCGUCCUCGAUGGGAGCCUCUGAAUCUGGGGGUCGAGAACCAGAAGUUGGUGUUUGGAACACCCAAGAUAGGGGCCCCAAUUCCUGAGAACUGCGCGGAGCAGUCCGGGUCGGCUGGGGGAAGGGGAGGAGGAUGCUGCAGCAAGAGGGGGCGGGGCGGGCGCAGCGAAUUGAGCCGAGACCCGCCGCCCCUCUGCUAAACGGCCCAGGCCCAGGACAGACAGACUUUGGGCGGUUCUUCGAAAGCAACGCAGAGAAGUCUUUUGUGCGGCUAGAUUGUUUAUGAACUGCGGGAGCAACGUCAGCCGGGCAACCUGACCCGGGACGCUUGGGGAGACCUCCGAUUCCCUCCACUUCUUGCUUUCGGCCGGUGGCUGCAUAAAUCCUGCCCACGAUGAGGCUGCGGCCUAUGGAGCCACGAGGGGUCCCUUGGCCAGAUUUAUUCAAAUAAAGUGGAGCUGCGAUCAAAGGCCUUGGGGCGUCCAGCCUCCCGCCUAGCUCCCAAGGCCUUCCGGGAAGGUCAAAUAGAGUGGGGACUGUCGCAGGGAAGCCGGGGAAGGGAGACGCUGAAGAGAGAAAGAGCAUUCGUGUUUAAUCUUGCCUCACGGACACAGGGCAGCCUGCUCUUUACUUUGCUGGCAAAAAGAAAAUGGUUUCCAAAUUUCACUCUUUCACAACGUGCAGACUAUAACCCGGCCGCCAACUGGCUUCAUGCUCGCUCCACACGGAAGAAACGGUGCCCGUAUACAAAGCAUCAGACGCUCGAACUGGAGAAAGAGUUUCUGUUCAACAUGUAU